rnacentral:rRNA from 1 species
AUUGAACGCUGGCGGCAUGCCUUACACAUGCAAGUCGAACGGCAGCACGGGAGCAAUCCUGGUGGCGAGUGGCGAACGGGUGAGUAAUAUAUCGGAACGUGCCCAGUCGUGGGGGAUAACGCAGCGAAAGCUGUGCUAAUACCGCAUACGAUCUACGGAUGAAAGCGGGGGAUCGCAAGACCUCGCGCGAUUGGAGCGGCCGAUAUCAGAUUAGCUAGUUGGUGAGGUAAAGGCUCACCAAGGCGACGAUCUGUAGCUGGUCUGAGAGGAUGACCAGCCACACUGGAACUGAGACACGGUCCAGACUCCUACGGGAGGCAGCAGUGAGGAAUUUUGGACAAUGGGCGAAAGCCUGAUCCAGCAAUGCCGCGUGCAGGAUGAAGGCCUUCGGGUUGUAAACUGCUUUUGUACGGAACGAAACGGUGAGCUCUAAUACAGUUUGCUAAUGACGGUACCGUAAGAAUAAGCACCGGCUAACUACGUGCCAGCCGCCGCAGUAA